UGGGAAUGGAGAAACACCCAGCCUUCCCAGCAUUGCCAUGUUCUCAGCAAUGUCCUUUGCCAACUGCACUGAGAAAGUGAGAUGACUGGAAGACAUCUCCUGGAUCACUGCAGUAUCUUGUCUGCCUCCAGGCUCCAGCGUCAAGUAGUGAUCAGUCUCCUUCUCGCAGUGCCAUGCCCUGCAGAAGCAGCUUCCAGAUGUGACCUUGCACCUCUUCACAGCUACCUGUGUCUAUGAAAUGUCCAGAGUUUGGCUGCUCACCACCUCUGCAAGGAGCCCUGUGAUGGAGAUUCCUGGCUUGCAUCACCUCAUCUGAUGUCCCUGUCAUCUCCCAUCAUGUUCCCAGAGUGAUGGAGACACCAGGAGUUUAGACGGUGUCGUCCACUGUGACAUGGAUUCAUCAUUUCCCUAUUUGUUGGGAAAGGCAGCUGUGUGCUGCUCGUGGAAAUGUAGCCUUGACUGACUAGCUAAAAAUCGGAGGUGACCUAGCUGUACAACUUACUGCUUGGGAACAAUGUGACAAACUUCAUCUUUCUUCACUGCCAACCUCUAAGGUUAGAGAGGGCCAUUACCUGUCAUGGUGGGGAGGAGAGAGACAGGUCUAUGGAUGUGUCUGUCUGUGCGUGCAGAGGGGGAGAUGAGUGGGCAUGCUCUUAUUCUUUCUUUCCUACUUCUUUAUAUUGAUUUUCAGUGGCUUGCACGCUUGGAAUGCAAUAAGGGAGCAAUUCCCUUCUAUGAUGGCUAGUAAACAUUGCCUGUAACUUUAUUCUGGGUCAGGAAAGUCAGCACUUAAAAUUAAAAGUGGUUUCAGAGGAAGAAAGCCAUAUUUUAGGAAAUUCCAGCUGGGGGUUCCUUGCUACUGUACUUAAUUUUAGAAUCCAGUGUGUCGU
rnacentral:lncRNA from 1 species